GACAGAGGUGCCGAGCGUUAGGCGGAAUCACUGGGCUUAAAGCGUGUGUAGGCGGGCGGGCAAGUACCUUGUGAAGACCUCACGGCUCAACCGUGGAACUGCUGGGUAUACUGCCUGUCUUGAGCCAGCCAGGGGCAGUCGGAACAGACGGUGGAGCGGUGAAAUGCGUAGAUAUCGUCUGGAACGCCAAAGGUGAAAACAGACUGCUGGGGCUGUGCUGACGCUGAGACACGAAAGCCAGGGGAGCGAACGGG
rnacentral:rRNA from 1 species